rnacentral:SRP_RNA from 1 species
UAGCUGUAGUGGCUUUUGGCGAAGUGUCCCUUACUUCUCAAUCAUCUCUUUAUUCAUCUGAUGAUGCGUGCCCAGUUCGAACUCGGUGGUGGUCGUCCACUCGCUACGGUAACGGGCGAUUUGCUGGAGCGGCUCUAAGCUACUGCGGAAUUCUUCAGCCGAGCAAUCGGGCAGAGAGCCGCAGGCCAUGGAGUGGCGGCGCUGGAUUGCAUGCGUUGUUGGCGAGAUGAGCUGGGAAGAUUGAUGGGGGACGCAACGUUUUU